AAAAGUUAGCUAACACAGUAAGCAGACGGUAUUCUAAACCAUCAACAAUAAGUGCAACUCUUUUACUUUUCGU
rnacentral:tRNA from 1 species